GACGAACGCUGGCGGCGUGCUUAACACAUGCAAGUCGAACGGGCCCGCUCUCUUUUUUGGGGGUGGGUUGAGUGGCGAACGGGUGAGUAUCACGUGAGUAACCUGCCCCCUGCUCCUGGAUAACUGCUUGAAAGGGCGGCUAAUACGGGGUGUGCCGGCUGGUCCGCAUGGGCCUGGUCGGGAUAGUUUCAUCUUCGGGUGUUUCGGUGGGGGAUGGGCUCGCGGCCUAUCAGCUUGUUGGUGGGGUGAUGGCCCACCAAGGCGGUGACGGGUAGCCGGUCUGAGAGGGUGGGCGGCCACACUGGGACUGAGACACGGCCCAGACUCCUGCGGGAGGCAGCAGUGGGGGGUAUUGCACAAUGGGCGGAAGCCUGAUGCAGCGACGUCGCGUGAGGGAUGGAGGCCUUCGGGUUGUGAACCUCUUUCUCCGGUGGUGAAGGCCCUGUCCGUUGCGGCGGGGUUGACGGUAGCCGGGUAUGAAGCGCCGGCUAACUACGUG
rnacentral:rRNA from 1 species